GCUGAGUGUGGUGGCACAUGCUUGUAAUCCCAGCGGCUUGGGAGGCUGAGGCAGGAAGAUCACGAGUUCAAAGCCAGCCUCAGCAAAAGCGAGGUACUAAGAAACUCAGUGAGACCCUGUCUCUA
rnacentral:sRNA from 1 species